rnacentral:rRNA from 1 species
CCAAGGCGACGAUCCGUAGCUGGUCUGAGAGGAUGAUCAGCCACACUGGAACUGAGACACGGUCCAGACUCCUACGGGAGGCAGCAGUGGGGAAUUUUGGACAAUGGGGGCAACCCUGAUCCAGCCAUUCCGCGUGAGUGAAGAAGGCCUUCGGGUUGUAAAGCUCUUUCGGCAGGAACGAAACGGCGGGCUCUAACAUAGCCUGUCAAUGACGGUACCUGAAGAAGAAGCACCGGCUAACUACGUGCCAGCAGCCGCGGUAAUACGUAGGGUGCGAGCGUUAAUCGGAAUUACUGGGCGUAAAGCGUGCGCAGGCGGUUUCGUAAGACAGAUGUGAAAUCCCCGGGCUUAACCUGGGAACUGCGUUUGUGACUGCGAGACUCGAGUGUGGCAGAGGGGGGUGGAAUUCCACGUGUAGCAGUGAAAUGCGUAGAGAUGUGGAGGAACACCGAUGGCGAAGGCAGCCCCCUGGGUUAACACUGACGCUCAUGCACGAAAGCGUGAGUAGCAAACAGGAUUAGAUACCCUGGUAGUCCACGCCCUAAACGAUGCGAACUAGGUGUUGGAGAAGGAGACUUCUUUAGUACCGUAGCUAACGCGUGAAGUUCGCCGCCUGGGGAGUACGGUCGCAAGAUUAAAACUCAAAGGAAUUGACGGGGACCCGCACAAGCGGUGGAUGAUGUGGAUUAUUUGAUGCACGCGAAAAACCUUACCUACCCUUGACAUGCCAGAACCCUGCUGAGAGGCGGGGGUGCCCGAAAGGGAGCCUGGACACAGUGCUGCAUGCUGUCGUCAGCUCGUGUCGG